rnacentral:rRNA from 1 species
GACAGAGGGUGCGAACGUUGUUCGGAAUUACUGGGCGUAAAGCGCGUGUAGGCGGCAGCGCAAGUCGGGCGUGAAAUCCCACGGCUCAACCGUGGAAGUGCACUCGAAACUGCGCAGCUAGAGUCCUGGAGAGGAAGGUGGAAUGCUUGGUGUAGAUGUGAAAUUCGUAGAUAUCAAGCGGAACACCGGUGGCGAAGGCGGCCUUCUGGACAGUGACUGACGCUGAGACGCGAAAGCGUGGGGAGCAAACAGG